rnacentral:sRNA from 1 species
UGGGAAGGAGAGAAAAUGGCGGCGGAGCCGAACAAGACCGAAAUCCAGACUCUUUUUAAGAGGCUUCGCGCAGUUCCAACCAACAAGGCCUGUUUCGACUGCGGCGCCAAGAAUCCGAGUUGGGCCAGCAUCACGUACGGUGUUUUCUUGUGCAUUGACUGUUCCGGGGUGCACCGCUCCCUGGGCGUCCAUCUGAGCUUCAUCAGGUCCACAGAGUUGGAUUCCAACUGGAACUGGUUCCAGCUGAGGUGUAUGCAGGUCGGCGGGAAUGCCAAUGCGGUAAAGCUCCUUCUACUUCCCUCACCUUCCAUUCUUCUGCCUGGGUACUAACUUUGCACGACUCCCUAAGAGGCCCUGUCGUUUUCCCUGUUCAGAGGGUUCUCUGUUCUAUAACACCACCAUAAGCUAUUUUCUGAAAACUUCGAAACUGGUCACAGCUUCUCUUAAAUGGGUUUCAGAUUCCGAUUAAACUGGGCAGGUGUUCUUGGGGAAAAGCCACAGGAGUUGGGAGCCUUCACAGUCAUUGGGUCUUGUGGGCCUGCCCUGGAUGAAGGAUGGGGAGGCUGGGUAUGGGAUGUUGUGCUCAGGCAGCGUUCAGUGGGGCCUGGACUUCAGUCAUAUCAAAGGAUGGCCCGCUGCAAGGUGUUUUUUGCAGGAAUUUCGAGAAACUUUGUCUCUGAAAAACCGGUGUCAGUAGCAUGUAUCAUCCUGUAUAGAUAAUAACUCCGCUGUCAUAAGGAGAUGCCUCCUACAGCCAACACGUUUCCUUCUUGAGAAUCACCCGUAGCAUGCGCUGCUCUCUUCUUUGCUCUCCAGACGGCUUUUUUUCGCCAACAUGGAUGCACAGCCAAUGAUGCCAACACCAAAUAUAAUAGCCGAGCUGCCCAGAUGUACCGGGAGAAGAUCCGGCAGCUGGGGAGUGCGGCCCUGGCUAGGCAUGGCACUGAUGUAAGUGCCUGUUCUUGGGGCUGGGGCAGGAGGGUUAGGAGUAUUCAGAGCCCUGUGUUUUAGGGGUGUCUUCUCCUUUCUAGCUUUGGAUAGACAACAUGAGUAGUGCCGUUCCUAAUCACUCCCCAGAGAAGAAGGACUCUGAUUUCUUCACAGAACACACUCAAGUGAGUGCCCACAAGGAACCGUUUUCCCAGUUGUUCUUGACAGGCAAUUUACCAAGGCCCAGGCCUUCUGUGAUCAUGGUUGUAGAUUCCAUUUGCUUUGAUGUGAUGUCUUGGACACCACAUAUGAAGUCCACUGUUCCUGCUGGGUAGGCCUAGGUGUUUCCUCCUCCAUAAAUGGAGGUGCAGUGUAGCCCUCCUUAGAAAUCGACUCCUAUAAAUUGGGCUGGCGGGGAAGAGAAGCAGCUUCUUGAAGUUUCAAGAGGUGUCCGGUGCCCCAAACAAAUUUUCCUGGAUUCUUCCCCUAUAAGAAAGGC